GCUGAGCGGAAACGGAACUAGACCUCGCAGGAUCCCCCCCAGUAGCUGUGGGUGGAUUAACCCAAGCUGCGGCUCAUGACUGCCCAGCACUAGCCUUUACAGCCCCGGUAUUAUUACCCGGAAUGGCAGCCAACAUAUUAAAUAAAGCCGCCAUCCCAGAUAACAAUUGACUACCUGGCAAGUUUUUUAAAGCAUCCAUCCCAGCCUGAGCACUGUUACCCGCAUUGUACGGCGUCUGCUGGAUUAGUGGCCGAGCUGGGUCCGGGCUGACUGAAAUCCAUUUUCUCCAUCCUUCAGGCCGCGGACAAGGGUUCUUCUUUGCUUGACUCGCCGGCAUCUGACUGGAACCAGGGGCAGCAUCCUUAUUUAUAAACACAGCGAGUUCCCGCCGUUGCCCAGCGACCAAUCCCAUGCCAGCUGAACAUCUGGCCAGGAACAUCUGCCCAGCUACAGACACACUGCCUCUGUAUCAACAUAUGAGCUUCCCCUCGAGCAAUGCUGAUGUUAGACCCCUGCUGCUGAUCGGACACCAGGCAAUGCAGUUUUUGGCAACCGGUAUUAUAGUGAUUGAAUGACAAGAAGGAGACAGAACGGAAGCUUCUUCGAGAAUAGACUGGCGUCACAUGAAGCAUGUCCUACUUGUGACUGACAACUGGAUGACUGGAGUUUCAAAACAGUAAUUAUGAAGAUCAUCACUAUGUAUCUGCCUGCAGACUUAAAGAGGAUGGGAGAACAGGAGUGAUGGCAUAUACUAAUGACAUAACAGUAUUUAAUCUCUGGAUCCACAGUCAUCUUGGAUGAGGGCAGGUUGGAUCCUCUGGAUAAUAUGACUCCGGGGCUAUUGGCAUAACAUCUUACCUCCCAGCCAUUCAGAUGAGAUGUUCUGCAGCAGAGUGAAAGGGAUGCAAAAGAAAGUUACCAACAAGUCACUGCAAGCCAUGGAGCAGAUAAAGAUGUUUGUCGCUGUCCUCAUUGCCUUCUUCCUGAUGAUAAUAUA